rnacentral:rRNA from 1 species
UCCGUAGGUGAACCUGCGGAAGGAUCAUUAUCGAAAUAAACCUGAGCAGGCUGUUUUGCUGGUCCUCUCAAGGGACAUUGUGCACGCUUGUUGUCUUUAUUUUUCCAACCGUGCACAUAUUGUAGACCUGGAGUUUUUCUUAUUGUUUGAAUAGAUUGAGGACUGCCGUCUAGGCUUUGCCUUGCAUUUUCCAGGUCUAUGUCGCAAACACAUUUUCACAACGUGUCUCAGAAUGUCGAGUACUGGGGAUAACAAAUAUACAACUUUCAGCAACGGAUCUCUUGGCUCUCGCAUCGAUGAAGAACGCAGCGAAAUGCGAUAAGUAAUGUGAAUUGCAGAAUUCAGUGAAUCAUCGAAUCUUUGAACGCAUCUUGCGCUCCUUGGUAUUCCGAGGAGCAUGCCUGUUUGAGUGUCAUCAAAAGUUAUCAACCACACCGGUUCCUCUGGCGUGGCUUGGAUUUGGGGGUUUUGCAGGCUUCAAGUCGGCUCUCCUGAAAAAGAUUAGCGGUAUCUGAGCAGAAACCAAGCCUCGGGCGUGAUAAUUAUCUAUGCCUUGGUGUAUAAUCUGUGUGGGCUGCUUAUAACCUAGUGUUGACAGAUUUGACCUCAAAUCAGGUAGGACUACCCGCUGAACUUAAGCAUAUCAAUAAGCGGAGGA